UGAAAAGUGAGUAUUGAAAACCUGGAUAUUCCAUCGGGCUUAGGUUUCAAACAAAAACUAAUUGGUGCUUUCCUUUUUUUGUGGAAGCAUGAUCUAAUAGAGAAUGCUCAUCCACAUGUUGAACUGUUAUUCAUGCUUGAUUCUAAUGGCGCAAAAUAAAACUUGGCUUACUAUUACAAGUGGAACUAAAGGGUCCAUCAUGGUUCAAUGGUACAAGGCGUCUUCCUCAGAAUUUACAAAUGAUACGAGCUUGAAGCCCUUACUUCAUCAAAAGUUUCUAAGGUUAUCAGUGAAGCCCUUACUUCACUGAUGUCUGAAUAUCUGCUUGUGCUUCUCAAUUGCAUUUCCUUUAUGCUCAGUCUCAAUCAUUGCAAAAUAAAAAUUAGCUUACCUGAUCCAACUGACAGUAAAUGUAAAUCAGUCAGUAUUGAAAACAAAAAUUAGUUUGUUAGUAACAAUUCAUUUAGCAACAACAUAUAUUUAUCCUGCUACAGCUAGAUCUGUAAUCAUAUUUGGGUGACUGCUACAGUUAAUACUCCCUUCAUAUUUCCUAUUUAUUCAUCUGCCUUAACCCUUCAUAUUUCCUAUUUAUUCAUCUGGGAUGUGCGGUCGUGGAAUAUUAUUUUUUUGAUUUCAUACUUGAGAUCACAUUUAUCCUGAUAUAGUAUUUUUGAAUUGAUACUAAAGAGCCUCACUUGUAUGCAUUCUCAUUUAAGAACGGGAGACUGGAGGUUACUGAGAUCUUCAACUUUUCCCAAGAUGAUUUGUUAACUGAAGACAUGAUGAUACUUGACACACAUGGUGAAGUUUUCAUUUGGAUUGGUCAGUAUGUGGAAUCAAAAGAGAAACAGAAGGCAUUUGACAUUGGCCAGGUAUCAACUGAAGCCCUGACUUUAUUCAAGUAGUUCCUGUUACCGGUGCUGGAGGCCUAUGAACUGCGCGGUCUGUGAACUGCGCGGUGCUGUGAACUGAAACGGUCUGUGAACUGCGCGGUGCUGGAGGCCUAUCACCGGUGGGAUG